ACUCAAAGGAAUUGACGGGGGCCCGCACAAGCGGUGGAGCAUGUGGCUCAAUUCGAUGCAACGCGAAGAACCUUACCAGGCCUUGACAUGCACUAGACCGGCGCUGAAAGGCGCCCUCCCUUCGGGGCUGGUGCACAGGUGCUGCAUGGCUGUCGUCAGCUCGUGUCGUGAGAUGUUGCGUUAAGUCGCGCAACGAGCGCAACCCCUGUCCUUAGUUGCCAUCAUUCAGUUGGGCACUCUAGGGAGACAAACCCUCUUUGAGGGUGGGAAGGUGGGGAUGACGUCAAGUCAGGAUGGCCCUUACGGCCUGGGCUGCACACGUGCUACAAUGCCCGAUACAGAGGGAAGCAAUACCGCGAGGUGGAGCAAAUCCUCAAAAUCGGGCCCAGUUCAGAUUGUAGUCUGCAACUCGACUACAUGAAGUUGGAAUCGCUAGUAAUGGCGUAUCAGCUACGACGCCGUGAAUACGUUCCCGGGCCUUGCACACACCGCCCGU
rnacentral:rRNA from 1 species